CCUACGGGAGGCAGCAGUGAGGAAUAUUGGUCAAUGGGCGCGAGCCUGAACCAGCCAAGUAGCGUGAAGGAUGACUGCCCUACGGGUUGUAAACUUCUUUUAUAAAGGAAUAAAGUGCGGGACGUGUCCCGUUUUGUAUGUACCUUAUGAAUAAGGAUCGGCUAACUCCGUGCCAGCAGCCGCGGUAAUACGGAGGAUCCGAGCGUUAUCCGGAUUUAUUGGGUUUAAGGGGUGCGUAGGCGGCCUUUUAAGUCAGCGGUGAAAGUCUGUGGCUCAACCAUAGAAUUGCCGUUGAAACUGGGAGGCUUGAGUAUGUUUGAGGCAGGCGGAAUGCGUGGUGUAGCGGUGAAAUGCUUAGAUAUCACGCAGAACCCCGAUUGCGAAGGCAGCCUGCCAAGCCAUGACUGACGCUGAUGCACGAAAGCGUGGGGAUCAAACAGGAUUAGAUACCCGGGUAGUC
rnacentral:rRNA from 1 species